rnacentral:ncRNA from 1 species
UGUGUGUGAGAUUACCCGCUGAAUUUUAGCAUAUAAGUAGACGGAGGAAAAGAAAACUACUAGGGAUUCCCUUAGUAAUGCGAAAUGAACAGGGAUCAGCUCAGUGCCAAAUCGGAAUCACUUGUGUUUCUGAAAUGUGGCUGAAAGGCAGUACCAGUGGCAUCGCGGACGAAAGUCUCUUGGAAAAGAGCGUCAUAGAGGGUGAGAAUCCCGUGAGUCGUUCGCCGUUUGUCACGUACGGUCUGCGUUCUAACGAGUCGCGUUCCUUGGGAUUGGAGCGUAAACGGGUGGUAAAUUUCAUCCAAAGCAAAAUAUAUACUCGAGACCGAUAGCACAAAAGUACCGUGAGGGAAAGGUGAAAAGAACUUUGAGAAGAGGGUUAAAUAGUGCCUGAAAUCGUUGAGAAGGAAGCGGAUGCCGCCGUUGCAUAUGCUGAUUGUAGGAUUGCUGCUCGCUCCUGUCUUCUGCUACUCAUUCACAGACCUGGUCGUGUUGAGCAGUUGUUUGGCAGAUGUUAGUGGUGUUUCCUACUUUCAGUCGUCAGCAUCACUGGCUGAGUGGAAAUAAUCCUUGGAUGCUAAUUGGUUCGCUAUCUGUGAAUUGGUUGCUUCCUUGCGAUACUCACUACUCGGUCAGUGAGGAAGUGCGUUUGCUGGUCAACGAGCUUUCUAACUGUCAUUACCCUGCGCUUUUCGAUUCGUCGAGUGGCCAGGAUGUGGCUUUGAGAUUGUUCGCACUUAGUAAUCGCGAUGCUGGCUUCCAACGGUUGCCUCCGGCCCGUCUUGAAACACGGACCAAGGAGUCUAACGUAUGUGCGAGUGUGUGAGUGGCAAACUUAUACGCGUAAUGAAAGUGAGGCCGUAUGGCCAUGUUGGGGUCACCAACAACCGACCUUGAUCUUCGGUGAAAGGUUUGAGUAUGAGCAUAUCCGUUAGGACCCGAAAGAUGGUGAACUAUGCCUGAGCAGGGUGAAGCCAGGGGAAACUCUGGUGGAGGCUCGUAGCGAUACUGACGUGCAAAUCGUUCGUCAGACUGGGUAUAGGGCGAA